GAUGGGUUCCCUCUCUGUGAUGAGUGUUAAGGCCCUCGGGACUUCUUUGAAGUUAACUUUUGAAGGGAAAAAUCAGUUGAUCUACCCAGAGACAUGGUUUUUUAUGUUAGUUGUGGCUAUAUGUGUCAUCAUGCAAAUGAAUUAUCUUAAUAAGGUUUCUU
rnacentral:sRNA from 1 species